GGAGGAAACAAGUAUCAGCCAGUGCUACCAGAGAGAUCUCCAGAAAGAGCACUUCCAUAGGAUGCUGAUCCUGUUUGUGAAGUUGUACCUACACGGGCUUUUUGAAUCUGUCUUAUUCUGAAAGCAUCUCUUGGUAGUGGCUGGCUUUGGACAGUUGCAGUGUCAUCCUCCUCUUGCCCUAUAAUCACAAUAACAUAUAUCAACUUUGAAUACAAAAAGUAAGGGUGAAUUAAUACUACCCUGAGGUUUGGUCAAAUAUUAGUUAGCCAUUGCUUUGCUUUUUCCAAAACUGAACUAAAUGGCCUCUAAAAUUUGAUUUUGUUCUGUUAAUUUUUGGUACAUUCAGCCGUUAGUCAAAGAUGAAAACUAAAUGGACUUCCAAAUCCUCGUAGCCAAGUUGUUUACGUCCUUAAACACGACACUCAGCCAUCAGUUGUGUGGCUGCCAAUCAAUGCCUAGUUUAAUUCCACCAAACUCCAAGCAAAGCAUCAAUUUUGACAUCCUCAAUCUCCAAGCAAAGCAUGAUUAGGUAGACGAAAGGCGGAGAGGAAGAGGCCUAAGCAAUCAGUGAAAUCAGAAGACUUUGGUUUGGCAUUAGAUAGAGAAGAGUGCGCAUGAGUGAUGGCUUUUUUAAUUUGAGAGACUUUUUCACUACCGAGUCAAAUCCCAAAAUUAGGGAUUUUGACAGGACUCUUUGGUACAUACUAUAUAGAGUCAAAUCCUAAGGAUCAUUCCUUUCCGCUUAGAAAAGCAAGGACUGAUUAGUAUAUUUGACCAAGCCCCAGGAGAUAAUAGUGAUUCACCCAAAAAGCAAAUAUGUAAAACAGAACACCAAUAGAUGGAGCAGUUUAGUGCGCUCAAUUUUAAAAUGAGUACAAACACAUUUUAUUGCUUCAGCAUUGUAUGUGGCUUCUACCAGUGAAUAAAUAGGCUAUUUAGUGACACAGUGUGGUGAUACCAGGAGGUUACACUUAGCAUGGCACGUCAAAAAAAGUUUGUGCAACACAUGCAUGGCAAAGGCUGCACUGACAUACGGAUUUAAGUGCUAAAGGCUAAAUUGCUUUUUAUGCAUUGCAAGCAAAGAUAAUCACAUCAACUUCCAACACUAUAAGCAUUUCAUCUCUAACACAGUAUUUCCUAAUACACUUGGUGACUGAGAUAUAUAUGAUUUGAUUCCAAAACCAAUAUAUAACCAUAAUUAUCCAUAGUUUUGAUGAAGAGGAAAACAUACU
rnacentral:misc_RNA from 1 species